rnacentral:rRNA from 1 species
ACCGUAAACACCCGGAAGUCGACCGGGGGUACGUUAACGUCACCGGGAGACGGGUGAGUAACCGGUGGGAACAUACCUUUUGGUUCGGAACAACACAGGGAAACUUGUCGUUUAAUUGGAUAACCCGUUACGGGGAAAGAUUUAUCCCGGAAAGAUUCCCCGGGGUCUGAUUACGUAGUUGGUAGGGUACCCGGGUACCAACGGGACGAUCAGUACGUGGUCUGAGACGGGGAUCCAGUACAUUGGGACUGAGACACCCCGGAA